AUACGUAGGUGGCAAGCGUUGUCCGGAAUUACUGGGCGUAAAGGGUGCGUAGGCGGUCCUUUAAGUGGGAUGCGAAAUCCCUGGGCUUAACCCAGGAACUGCAUUCCAAACUGGAGGACUAGAGUGCAGGAGAGGAAAGCGGUAUUCCCAGUGUAGCGGUGAAAUGCGUAGAGAUUGGGAGGAACACCAGUAGCGAAGGCGGCUUUCUGGAAUGUAACUGACGCUGAGGCACGAAAGCGUGGGGAGCAAACAGGAUUAGAUACCCUGGUAGUCCACGCCGUAAACGAUGAGUACUAGGUGUGAGGGCGUAAGCCUUCGUGCCGUAGUUAACACAUUAAGUACUCCGCCUGGGAAGUACGAUCGCAAGAUUAAA
rnacentral:rRNA from 1 species